CAGCAGAAACACAGACUUUAAUAUUCCAAUAAAUUAUUUAUUAUUUUCUGUCAGACUUUUUUGAUCAUCUAAUAAAUUGGAGCUCUUCAUGACUCGGCAUCUGCUGCAGAAACAUUCAUGAUGUUCCUCAAACCCUAAUCAGUUCUAUUUACUGUGAUCAGAACCUGACGUACAGGUGAGAACCUACAGGACCAAGAACCCACACCUGCUGAGGGAAUCCUCCUCUGUAGAUCAUCUGAGGAUCUCCUUCUGCUGCCACUGGGUCCUCUGGAAUGUUUAGUGAGUCUUAGAUGUUCCUGGACAGAUCUUCUCCUUGCAGGCAUCCAGAGCCAGCUGAUCUACAGGAACCUACAGAGACCCAGAUCCAUGUGGAUCCACAGGAGCUAAAGAAAGCUGAACCUUUCCAGUAAAAUGCUGAGACCACUUAUAGACCGUGAUGAGGAGGUUUCAGUCAGAACUUUGUGAUGUAUUUUCAGAUCAACCUUUGAGGACCAUCAGGACAGUGAAGUUUUGGUGAGAUGCUGGUGAAACCUGAAGAAAGUUAGAAAUGCAGCAGGUCUGUUUCAUUUUCUAUGAAUAAAGAAAAGGGACCAAUCCCAAAAUAAUCACAGUAUCUUAAAAAUGUAAAUGAACACCAGCCAUCAGACCUGUUGGUCCAUCUGAAGACCAUCACAGUGGAAGAGUCCAGUUAGACCCAGACUACCUGGGAUCAGCUCACAGGAACAGACUGGAGCUUCAAAAGGAGAAACCACUCACCUGUGCCAGCAGUCUAAUUGGUGCACCUGUAAGCCCCUCCCACCUUUCUAAAGUCCUGCAACUCUGAGGAACCAGAACAUGAUGAAGAAGGAGAGAACUCAGAUGUCUUCCAUCAGCAAGAACAAUGGAAACCAGAAAAAAAAUCUUUGAUUUUUUUUUUUUUUU